ACGAACGCUGGCGGCGUGCUUCACACAUGCAAGUCGAACGGAAAGGCCCUGCUUUUGUGGGGUGCUCGAGUGGCGAACGGGUGAGUAACACGUGAGUAACCUGCCCUUGACUUUUGGAUAACUUCAGGAAACUGGGGCUAAUACCGGAUAGGAGCUCCUGCUGCCUGGUGGGGGUUGGAAAGUUUCGGCGGUUGGGGAUGGACUCGCGGCUUAUCAGCUUGUUGGUGGGGUAGUGGCUUACCAAGGCUUUGACGGGUAGCCGGCCUGAGAGGGUGACCGGCCACAUUGGGACUGAGAUACGGCCCAGACGCCUACGGGAGGCAGCAGUGGGGAAUAUUGCACAAUGGGCGGAAGCCUGAUGCAGCAACGCCGCGUGCGGGAUGACGGCCUUCGGGUUGUAAACCGCUUUCGCCUGUGACGAAGCGUGAGUGACGGUAAUGGGUAAAGAAGCACCGGCUAACUACGUG
rnacentral:rRNA from 1 species